CCUACGGGUGGCUGCAGUAAGGAAUAUUGGUCAAUGGACGCAAGUCUGAACCAGCCAUGCCGCGUGGAGGAUGAAGGUCCUCUGGAUUGUAAACUUCUUUUCUUUGGGAAGAAACUCCCGAUUUCCAUCGGGAUUGACGGUACCAGAUGAAUAAGCACCGGCUAACUCCGUGCCAGCAGCCGCGGUAAUACGGAGGGUGCAAGCGUUAUCCGGAUUAAGGGGGUUUAGAUGGUCAGUAAAGUCACAGGUAAAAUCUUCGGGCUUAACCCGGAAACUGCCAUUGAUACUGUUUGUCUUGAAUACUCUGGAGGUGAGCGGAAUAUGUCAUGUAGCGGUGAAAUGCUUAGAUAUGACAUAGAACACCCAUUGCGAAGGCAGCUCACUACGGAAAUAUUGACGCUGAGGCACGAAAGCGUGGGGAUCAAACAGGAUUAGAUACCCGAGUAGUC
rnacentral:rRNA from 1 species